rnacentral:rRNA from 1 species
GGGAAUUUUGCGCAAUGGGGGAAACCCUGACGCAGCAACGCCGCGUGCGGGACGAAGGCCUUCGGGUUGUAAACCGCUUUCAGCAGGGACGAAUUCCGACGGUACCUGCAGAAGAAGCCCCGGCUAACUGCGUGCCAGCAGCCGCGGUAAUACGUAGGGGGCGAGCGUUAUCCGGAUUCAUUGGGCGUAAAGCGCGCGUAGGCGGCGCGUCAAGCGGGACCUCUAACCCCGGGGCUCAACCCCGGGCCGGGUCCCGGACUGGCGCGCUCGAGUGCGGUAGAGGCGAGUGGAAUUCCCGGUGUAGCGGUGGAAUGCGCAGAUAUCGGGAAGAACACCGAUGGCGAAGGCAGCUCGCUGGGCCGACACUGACGCUGAGGCGCGAAAGCUGGGGGAGCGAACA